ensembl:lncRNA
UUGCUAGUGAAGUAUCUCUUUGGACUGGGGGAUUUUUUAAUUCAAAAAAGCAAAAAGAGGGCAAAAGGAGUCAAUGAUGUAUCAACAGUGUGCGUGUACAUAGGGUUAUAAAAAGGUUUUUUGAUGGUAUGCUUUGAAUUUUUUGGUUUUAUUUUGUGAAAUGGUGGUUCAGCUGUGCCAGUGCCCACAAUAGUGCUGGAUUUAUUCUGGUGGUAGGAAGGUCCUCACCUGUUGAGGCUGGUCCAUAGCCUCUCUGAAUCUUGGGGGAAGCAGUAAAAGCAGUGGUGGGAUUAGCCUGCACUCCCGAGUGCUCAAAUUGCUGCAAAACUGAGCUCUGUGACUGAGCUGAUCCCCUGAUGCUGCUGCCCCUCAGGAGGAGGUUUGGGAAACAGGACAGGGGAGCAGGAGGCCGCUGCUGUGGUGGCUGGGAGCUGAGACCACACUGUGCCACCACUGCUGCAUCAGGCCCACCUCCCACCCACCCAUCUCCUGGGGCCUGAUGGAGCAAUUGCCCCAAACCCACCCUCUCCCUCUGCAGAGAUGCCAAGGCACAGGAAUCUCUACCAUGAAAAAACCCCAAACCCACACACAAACAUCCUUUGGAAGGGAAUAAAUCAUCCUGAGUGGGGACAUCUUCCACCACACUCGUGCCUUCCCGAGGAUGCUGAGGUACAAGGGAACACAGGGAAUUUGAGUGGGUGUCUGCAAGCCCAUCCAGGCUUAAUUCAGAGCCCUGUCAUUUCCAUCCCUGCUUGGUUUUGAUGCCUCUUUGUAAAUAAUAGGUAAGAGUCUGGCAUGUGGCUUGGCAUGUUAGGCAGAAUUAGUUGCCUGGGAAGAGAUCCUGGCCCAUGCAGGGAUUUCCAGCAUAGCCCCCAAAUUUUUGGAAAGCACCAAUCUCCCCCAUCUUAAACUGGGGAAAAGGAGGAAAAUUCUUGGGUCUGGAUUGUCUGUGCAGGGGGUUUUUACAAGAGGGGGUUACCUGCAGGGCUGGGCCAGAGAAGGUGCUGGGGGUGAGGAGGCAAUGCUGAGGGAGAGGUUUGGACUGGUACUGGUGCCAGGGGUAGGAGAGACAAGCAGGGAGGCUGCCAGGGGGCCCUUGGUGGGGAGUAGGGGGGUGCUGUCACACAGGUAAAGCCAGUCCUGGCUCCCAAAUAACCCUGGGUGGGGAUAUGUGGGGCUUUCACACUCUACUUAUUAACCUGCUGCAAGGAAAAGAUCCUCAGAAAUCCCUCAUUCCACACAAACCCAUUACUUCUUGUCUGUAUCUUCUCGGUAGCUGAACAGUUGGGAAAAUGGUACAACCUUGUCAGCACCCCAAACGCCCCCAGGCACCCACACUCCUGCAGGGAGUGCUGCAGGUCCCGGGGCAUGUACAGUUGUACUUUAAUUGUGAUUUGAAUGGUACAUUUCCUCUGCCCACCUCUCCUCCUGCCUGCUUCAUCUCUUGCUGUGUGGACCAUCACCCCCAUUCCUGUUGGGAGCAGCGCUCUGGGGCAAUGUCGUACCGUGUGAGUGAAUUCCUGCCUUACGAAUUUUGGUUUUUUCAGCCCCAUCCCUUUCUCUGCCACCCUCCCCUUGGAUUUCUGCAUUUUUUCUGCAGAAACGAAGUAACCAGACCUGGUACCCUGAGUCUCAACCCACUGUGGAUGUGCUAUUUAGAAAAACACAUUUGUUGUAAUGUGUGUGUAUAUAUAAAUAUAUAUAUAUAAUGAAUAUAUCAAGAAUAUUUCUAAAUAAAGUUUUACAAA